UGCCAUGUGGGUGCUAGAAAUCAAACCCCGGUCCUCUGCCAGAACAGCCAGUGCUCUUAACUGCUGAGUCAUCUCUCCAGCCCCAUCAGUUCUUUCUAAAUUUAGCUGGUCUUGAGAGAAAAAGCACUGGGGACCCCUGCCAACGGGGAGUUUGGGAGUGGAUUCGUAAGCCAAGCCUGACAGACCAUUGAUUGUCCUUAUGAGACCCAGAGCCCAGUGCCCAGCUGAGCUGAUCUUCAAAAAAAAAAAAGCCUAAGAUCGUCACCAUGCUCUGGAUGAUCCCCUGCUCUGGAUGACCCCUUGCUCUGGACGACCCCGUGCUCUGGAUGACCCCCUGCUC